rnacentral:rRNA from 1 species
AACGAACGCUGGCGGCAGGCCUAACACAUGCAAGUCGAGCGGACCCUUCGGGGUUAGCGGCGGACGGGUGAGUAACGCGUGGGAAUAUGCCCUUCUCUACGGAAUAGUCCUGGGAAACUGGGGGUAAUACCGUAUACGCCCUUUGGGGGAAAGAUUUAUCGGGGAAGGAUUAGCCCGCGUUGGAUUAGGUAGUUGGUGGGGUAAUGGCCUACCAAGCCGACGAUCCAUAGCUGGUUUGAGAGGAUGAUCAGCCACACUGGGACUGAGACACGGCCCAGACUCCUACGGGAGGCAGCUGUGGGGAAUCUUAGACAAUGGGGGCAACCCUGAUCUAGCCAUGCCGCGUGAGUGAUGAAGGCCUUAGGGUUGUAAAGCUCUUUCAGCUGGGAAGAUAAUGACGGUACCAGCAGAAGAAGCCCCGGCUAACUCCGUG